GACGAACGCUGGCGGCGUGCCUAAUACAUGCAAGUCGAGCGCAUAGAAGGGAGCUUGCUCCCUGAAGUGAGCGGCGGAUGGGUGAGUAACACGUGGGUAACCUGCCUGUCAGAUCGGGAUAACUGUGGGAAACCGCAGCUAAUACCGGAUAAUCCUUCGCACCGCAUGGUGCGGAGUUGAAAGAUGGUUUCGGCCAUCACUGACAGAUGGGCCCGCGGUGCAUUAGUUAGUUGGCGGGGUAACGGCCCACCAAGACUGCGAUGCAUAGCCGACCUGAGAGGGUGAUCGGCCACAUUGGGACUGAGACACGGCCCAAACUCCUACGGGAGGCAGCAGUAGGGAAUCUUCCACAAUGGACGAAAGUCUGAUGGAGCAACGCCGCGUGAGCGGAGAAGGUUUUCGGAUCGUAAAGCUCUGUUGCUGGAGAAGAACGAGUGCGAGAGGAAAUGCUCGUACUGUGACGGUAUCCAGCCAGAAAGCCACGGCUAACUACGUGCCAGCAGCCGCGGUAAUACGUAGGUGGCAAGCGUUGUCCGGAAUUAUUGGGCGUAAAGCGCGCGCAGGCGGCUUCUUAAGUCUGAUGUGAAAUCUUGCGGCUCAACCGCAAACGGUCAUUGGAAACUGGGAAGCUUGAGUGCAGAAGAGGAGAGUAGAAUUCCACGUGUAGCGGUGAAAUGCGUAGAUAUGUGGAGGAAUACCAGUGGCGAAGGCGGCUCUCUGGUCUGUAACUGACGCUGAGGCGCGAAAGCGUGGGGAGCAAACAGGAUUAGAUACCCUGGUAGUCCACGCCGUAAACGAUGAAUGCUAGGUGUUGGGGGGUCCAACCCCUUAGUGCUGAAGUUAACACAUUAAGCAUUCCGCCUGGGGAGUACGACCGCAAGGUUGAAACUCAAAGGAAUUGACGGGGGCCCGCACAAGCAGUGGAGCAUGUGGUUUAAUUCGAAGCAACGCGAAGAACCUUACCAGGUCUUGACAUCCUCUGACAAGCCUAGAGAUAGGCCGUUCCCCUUCGGGGGACAGAGUGACAGGUGGUGCAUGGUUGUCGUCAGCUCGUGUCGUGAGAUGUUGGGUUAAGUCCCGCAACGAGCGCAACCCUUGAUCUUAGUUGCCAGCAUUCAGUUGGGCACUCUAAGGUGACUGCCGGUGACAAACCGGAGGAAGGUGGGGAUGACGUCAAAUCAUCAUGCCCCUUAUGAUCUGGGCUACACACGUGCUACAAUGGGUGGUACAAAGGGCAGCGAAACCGCGAGGUCGAGCUAAUCCCAUAAAGCCACCCCCAGUUCGGAUUGCAGGCUGCAACUCGCCUGCAUGAAGCCGGAAUUGCUAGUAAUCGCGGAUCAGCAUGCCGCGGUGAAUCCGUUCCCGGGCCU
rnacentral:rRNA from 1 species